GGAGUGAAAGGAGAUAAGGGAGAUGCAGGCGACAAAGGUCCUCCUGGGUUAAGGGGUACCCAGGGUCUUCCAGGUUCUACAGGGUUGGUUGGUCUCCCUGGCACCAAAGGGGGAAAGGGAGAGCAAGGAUUGCCGGGAUUAGAUGGUUUCCCCGGGCUGAUGGGACAAAAGGGGGAGAGGGGGGGCAGAGGAGACAAGGGUGACAGGGGGAUGCUGGGAAAGAAGGGACUGAAGGGACAGAAGGGCGAGCAAGGCCCUCCUGGACUGGACCAGCCCUGUCCUGUGGGCACCAAUGGGGGUGGAGAACACCCUGGGGAGGCGGGGCAACCCUCAGGCGCCCCUUGCCCCCUGGGUCGGGAUGGAUUACCCAUACCUGGAUGUUGGCAUAAGUGAUGACUGACCGGGACCUGGGAUCUGUACAUAUCGAUAUAUAUUUUUCAAAUAAAACUCAAGUGUUGUUUUUUGUUGUUGUUGCCAAUUCUAAUUUAAUAUAUUGAGUUUUUCGUAUUGGAAUUUAGAUUGUGGGUCUAUCACAAUCAAUAUUUUGUACUUUUUGCAUAUGAAAAGAAAACUAGUUUUUUUUUAGUUUAGAGAUGACUUACAAGAAGGAUAUCAUGCACACAAAGAGGAGAGACUGGUGACAAACGGAAAGCAGCAGCAAAUGCACUCAACACCUACCGGAUGGACAAAUGUUGCUGCUUUUAUCUAUACGGGGAGAAAUAAAUCAUUGAUUCUGACGAACAGGCUCACUAGUGUUCCCAUAUUGGAGUGUACAACUCCACCUGCACCUUGCAAACAAAUCUACCCCAUCACUCCUGUGAAUGCUGUUUGCUUUGAAAGGACCAGUCCUCACGGCAGGGACCCAAUGCCAGGUACCCAUCCCAACCUUAGGAGAGAGGUAUGGGGAGGCACAGAGGAUGGCCCUCACAGUUGAAUAGGAGCCACACAGACUGACUGCGCUGGACAGAGACAGAUGGCUACACCAGCAUGGAGGAAAUAUGGCUUUCACUCUUCAGCUGCAAUCCUAACUGGUACUGGAGGGACUUGAUUCAAACACCAGAUCCCUCACAACAAAUUACAGACACACACUAGCUUAGAUGAAUGGAUUUAUUUCAAGUCCUUCUAAAUCCCUUAGCAGUGUGUUAUCCAUUACAUGCGGUUGUGUGUUUUUGUCAUAAUGUGUGUAAAAACGAAUCAGAUCUGAAAUGAACACAUGUUUUAAUACCAUGAUGUUUGGAU
ensembl:lncRNA